rnacentral:rRNA from 1 species
GACGAACGCUGGCGGCGUGCCUAACACAUGCAAGUCGAACGGGGAGUUACUUGUAACUCCUAGUGGCGAACGGGUGAGUAACGCGUAGACAACCUGCCUCUAAACUGGGGACAACACCGCGAAAGUGGUGCUAAUACCGAAUGUGGUAACUUGAUCGCAUGAUCGAGUUAAGAAAGAUGGCCUCUGAAUAUGCUAUCGAUUAGAGAUGGGUCUGCGUCUGAUUAGCUAGUUGGUGAGGUAAUGGCUCACCAAGGCGACGAUCAGUAGCCGGUCUGAGAGGAUGAACGGCCACACUGGGACUGAGACACGGCCCAGACUCCUACGGGAGGCAGCAGUGGGGAAUCUUCCGCAAUGGACGAAAGUCUGACGGAGCAACGCCGCGUGAGUGAAGAAGGUCUUCGGAUUGUAAAGCUCUGUCGUUUGGGACGAAUGUGAGCUGUGUGAAUAAUGCAGCUUAAUGACGGUACCAAAGGAGGAAGCCACGGCUAACUACGUGCCAGCCGCCGCGGUAAGAC